UACGUAGGUGGCAAGCGUUGUCCGGAAUCAUUGGGCGUAAAGCGCGUGUAGGCGGUCCGGUAAGUCCGCUGUAAAAGUCGGGGGCUCAACCCUCGGAUGCCGGUGGAUACUGUCGGGCUUGAGUACGGAAGAGGCGAGUGGAAUUCCUGGUGUAGCGGUGAAAUGCGCAGAUAUCAGGAGGAACACCAAUUGCGAAGGCAGCUCGCUGGGACGUUACUGACGCUGAGACGCGAAAGCGUGGGGAGCAAACAGG
rnacentral:rRNA from 1 species